CUUGCCCCGAUCCCUCCACCCGCCCGCCUUCUUCCCGGCAACCCAGCCCCACCCUAGGCGCGGCGAUGGGUGCUAGGGCGUGGGAAAAGGCGGCGGCGCUCGCGAGGGCGGAUGCCGGCGGUGACAUCGUCCACCAGGACGUCGACGCGCACAAAUCCUCAGCUACUCGAACGACUUCAUGCUCGUAUUCUCCGUCUCUCCAGCCGCUAGACACACGAAGAAGUCCGCGACUCUGGCGGCGGUUGCCCACGGCCAAUGAGAAGGAAGCUGCGGCAGUUCUAGGGACAAGAAGAUGACAACAGCCCCCCGACGGCCUCCUGCAAGCACAUCGAGGAAGAGGUUGUCAAGAAGACAAAAUCAGUUGUGAAGCUCAAACAAGAAGCUGAGAAUUGCCUAUAAUAGAGUGAAAGAUUUAACAACGAGAAGGCUGAGUUUGAGCAAGCUUCCUUCACAAAAGGUACAGUUCCUUGUCUCGACCUCUUUCUUCUGUGCCUGUCGCUAGCUAGCGAUGUUUUGGUUAUGCAGUUUUUGUGUGAAGUUCACCCUCGGCAUGGACAACAUGGCAUGGACCCUCUGUUCUUGGCCUCCACUCCGUCAAGGCACAUAUGAGGGUUACCAUGAUUCUGGUAGUGCUUGUUCUACCAUCAGGUGGAGGGCUAUGAGGAUGUUGUGGCAAUAAGACUAUGACGUCAUAUAGGUUCAAUCAGUACAUGAAGCAGAUGCCGCGUACUAUAUUGCUUACCUGUGUAGGGCUAAGAGGAAGUUGAUGCAUGGCAGGGGACGGAGGUGCAGCGAGAUCCUGGAGAGGCCGCGCCGAUGCAUCUUCUAAAGGGUGACUUGAAACCAGCAGAGGGACAGGGAUCAUGCGAAAACGCUGAUUCAGUGAAAAUCUGGAAACUCUACUCGUGGGCCAUCGAAUCAAUAAGGAGCGCACAGAUGAGAGGGUGGGCUUGCUAAUCACCUGUUGUACUUCUACACGGGGCUGACUGUAUUCAUGGAAAAUUUGUUGGCAACAAGUAUGGUGAUUCAUGGAAAGUAAAAUGGUUAUUUUCUCUAAUCUAAACAUGUGAUA